GGAUCAAUGAUGAGCACAAUUGUCUGAGGAU
rnacentral:ncRNA from 1 species